rnacentral:rRNA from 1 species
CCAGUAGUCAUAUUCUUGUCUCAAAGAUUAAGCCAUGCAUGUGUAAAUAUGAACUAAUUCAGACUGUGAAACUUCGAAUGGCUCAUUAAAUCAGUCAUAGUUUGUUUGAUGGUACCUUCUACUCGGAUAACCGUAGAAAUUCUAGAGCUAAUACGCGCAACAAACCCCGACUUCAGGAAGGGGAGGGGGAUGCAUUUAUUCAGGAUAAAGGUCAACGCGGCCCUGCCUGUUUGCUUUGAUGAUUCAUGAUAACUCGUCGGAUCGCACGGCCCUUGUGCCGGUGACGCAUCAUUCAAAUUUCCGCCCUAUCAACUUUCGAUGGUAGGACAGUGGCCUACCAUGGUGGUGACGGGUGACGGAGAAUUAGGGUUCGAUUCCGAAGAGGGAGCCUGAGAAACGGCUACCACAUCCAAGGAAGGCAGCAAAAGGCGCGCAAAUUACCCAAUCCUGAGACGGGGAGGUAGUGACAAUAAAUAACAGUACCGGGCUCAUAGAGUCCGGUAAUUGGAAUGAGUACAAUCUAAAACCCUUAACGAGGAUCCAUUGGAGGCCAAGUCUGGUGCCAGCAGCCGAGGUAAUUCCAGCUCCAAUAGCGUAUAUUCAAGUUGUUCGCAGUUAACAAGCUCGUAGUUGGACCUUGGGUUUGGCCGAUCGGUCCGCCGUAGGUGUGCACCGGUCGGCUAGUCCCUUCUGCCAGCGAUACGCUCCUGGCCUUAAUUGCCCGGGUCGUUUCUCUGGCGCUGUUACUUUGAAGAAACUAGAGUGCUCAAAGCAAGCCUACGCUCUGUAUACAUUAGCAUGGGAUAACAUCAUAGGAUCCCGAUCCUAUUGUGUUGGACUUCGGGAUCGGAGUAAUGAUUAACAGGGACAGUCGGGGCAUUCGUAUUUCAUAUUCAGAGGUGAAAUUCUUGGAUUUAUGAAAGACGAACAACUGCGAAAGCAUUUGCAAAGGAUGUUUUCAUUAAUCAAGAACGAGAGUUGGGGGCUCGAAGACAAUCAGAUACCGUCCUAGUCUCAAACAUAAACGAUGCCGACCAGGAAUCAGCGGAUGUUGCUUUAAGGACUCCGCUGGCACCUUAUGAGAAAUCAUAGUCUUUGGGUUCCGGGGGGAGUAUGGUCGCCAAGGCUUGAAACUUAAAGGGACAUUGACCUGGAAGGGCACCACCAGUAGUGGAGCCUGCGGCUUAAUUUGACUCAACACGGGGAAACUUACCGGGUCCAGACAUAGUAAGGAUUGACAGACUGAGAGCUCUUUCUUGAUUCUAUGGGUGGUGGUGCAUGGCCGUUCUUAGUUGGUGGAGCGAUUUGUCUGCUUAAUUCCGUUAACGAACCAGACCUCAGCCUGCUAACUAGCUAUGUGGAGGUAGCCCUCCACGGCCAGCUUCUUAGCGGGACUAUGGCCGCCCAGCCCACGGAAGUUUGAGGCAAUAACAGGUCUUUGAUGCCCUUAGAUGUUCUGGUCCGCACGCGCGCUACACUGAUGUAUUCAACGAGUCUAUAGCCUUGCCCGACAGGCCGUGCUACUGGUACUAGUGCUCUUUGUCGAAAUGUUUGUCUUCACUCGAUGAUGGGGAUUAGUAAUGCGAGUUUGCUAUAUGUGGUUGGUCUUCUACAGGGUAGUACAGUUGACUUAUUCGCGCUCUUCAUGCACCAUGCAUAGAUGAAGCGCGAUGCUCCUAAUUGCUAGCUUCAGCCCGCUGUGUGUCUUUAGGAUUUGCGUCUCCAGUGCCUUUUUGUAUCUACAUGUCCGUUGGCCUCGCCGUGUAAUCGAUCCUCAUAGCCUCGCAGUAUAUGUAUAUGUGAAAU